ACCCGCUGAACUUAAGCAUAUCAAUAAGCGGAGGAAAAGAAACUAACAAGGAUUCCCCUAGUAACGGCGAGUGAAGCGGGAAGAGCUCAAAUUUGAAAUCUGGUGGCCUCAGGUCAUCCGAGUUGUAAUCUAUAGAAGUGUUUUCCGUGCUGGCUCAUGUACAAGUCCCUUGGAACAGGGCGUCAUAGAGGGUGAGAAUCCCGUCCUUGACAUGAACUACCAGUGCUCUGUGAUACAUUUUCAACGAGUCGAGUUGUUUGGGAAUGCAGCUCAAAAUGGGUGGUAAAUUCCAUCUAAAGCUAAAUAUUGGCGAGAGACCGAUAGCGAACAAGUACCGUGAGGGAAAGAUGAAAAGCACUUUGGAAAGAGAGUUAAACAGUAUGUGAAAUUGUUGAAAGGGAAACGAUUGAAGUCAGUCGUGCUCUUUGGAUUCAGCCGGUUCUGCCGGUGUACUUCCUUUGAGUGGGGUCAACAUCAGUUUUGAUCGCUGGAUAAAGGCAGGAGGAACGUAGUACCCUCGGGUAAACUUAUAGCCUCUUGUCACAUACAGUGGUUGGGACUGAGGAACGCAGCACGCCUUUAUGGCCGGGAUUCGUCCACGUACGUGCUUAGGAUGUUGACAUAAUGGCUUU
rnacentral:rRNA from 1 species